UGUCGCUCGCAGGGCCGAGUGGGAGGAGGCGGGAGGGCGGUUCUGUACGCGUGGGGCCGGUCUCGGGGGCUCAGGGCUCACCUCGGGCUGCCAGGGCCUGCCCGAAGAGCCGUGGAGGACUCAACGCCCGCAGCCGUCGGCGACCGCGCUUCCUGAGGAGGGGCAGCGACGGCACCGUGACCCCGGGGCUGCCCGGCGGAUAGUGUCCUGUUUUGGCCUCGGUUUGCCUCCCGCCACGACCCGAGCUGGUCUUUGGCUGCCUCCUGCCCAGAGAGCCCUCCGUGCCGCGCCGCGACUGAGGGAGCUGUGAGCGGCUGUGGAACAGGCGGCGGGAACAUGGGGACGGUGACCGGGGGUCACAGAGGUGCAGAGGAGUUGGACAAAACGGCCCUAAAGGAGCACAAUGACGGUACAAGAAUGAUGUAUCACCAGAGGGGAGAAACAGUGUCCUUGGAAAUGAGUCUCCCAUACAAAUGUGCGAGUACUGUGAACCCCACAUUCCUGCAGCAUUGGUCUGACCCUGGAUGGACUUCUCCCACUGCACAGAUCUCACCUGUGGAGGGAUGUUCCUCCUUGAUCACUUGAGCUAUUUAAAUUUUCUUACAAGAAACCGGUUAUUAAUAAAGGACAUUGACGUGAGAACUCCUUGCUGCACUUCUAGAUAAAGGCAAGGCCACGCAGGUGGUGUAAUCAUCUGCAACAAGCUGGAGCUGCCCUCAGGCUCCUCUGUGACAUGGAGAUGAUGGAGUUCAGCCCACAGCGAGGAGAUUCGUGCACGUCACCGCAUGGCUGAGGGCAGCCCAGCACAGACCUCUGCCCGCUCACGUGAACUGAUCUGUGGAUCACUGGCUCCUGGAUGAGCAGUGGUCUCCUGGUCAGGAUCACUACGCUCCCCUUGCUUCCAGAGACUUCAAGGAGUUUUUCACUGAUGUUUUGCCUCCUUGCACAUCCCAGAGUAAUAGCACAGUACAUUUUGGACUUUGAAGAGUGGGAAUAAGAAAAACAGUGCUGCUGAUAUCAAGGGUUCUUUCUGUUUUGAGCACGUUUAUUUUUUUUUUUCACCAUGUUUUUCCUUUUUCACAUAACCUUCUGAAAUUAGUGAUGCAGAAAGCAUGAAACACUUCCCUUGUUGGAGCUGAACUCAUUGGCAAACAGACUUGCACAGAACUCAGUGAACUUUCUGGUCACUGAUUUUCACAGCAUCGUGUAUUUUACAUCAUCCCAUAUUCUGGCAUGGGGCAAACUGACUGCAGAAUUUGAAGCUGUAAGGCUGUAGUGCUUCCUGGGAAACUUAUUUAGAGGGGGAUCUUCUGCUAGUUGAAUUCAUUGCUGCACACAACCAAACCUAUGACUAGAAGAAUUUCAGCUGGAAAUUUUGAAAUAAUACCAUGCUUCAUUGCCAUUACUUGGAGAAGAAGAAACACAAUAUUGUGGCUGUUGUCAUCGUUAGCAACUAUUCAACCGAGGUGCCGAUAAUUUUGCAAGGCUGGCAGAAGACACGCACAGGAGAAUCAACUAAUAUGCGGAUACUCUCAGACCUGAUUCCUGUGGAUCUUCUCCCUGGAUUACCAAGUACAAUUUCCCAGUAUGGCAGGAGAAAAUGUCAGAACUCACUAAUCCUCUUCAGCCAGGAGGCUCCUAAAACCCACUAACAGUUAUUACUCUGUAGAAAAGCUUUCAAAUUUCUCUAGUUCUACGAAAGACUACUGUACAGUGCUGUAGCCAGCGCACAACUGGAUGGUGGCUAAAAGGGAAGAAAUGUUCUUAACCAAGGUCUAAGUUACCUGUAUAUAUACUUCUCCUGAGUCUUACCACACAUGUAACCUUAGACCAAGAUUUAGGUUUGUUUAAUGCAUUUUUUUUUGUUCUUGUGAUUGAAUCAGUUUAGUUUGUUUUUAGUUCCAAAAUGAUAAAUUAGCUGCAUGUGGAGAGCUUAUGACUAUGACCCUUACAGCUAAUUUCUGUCAGUUUAGACCACAAUCUAGCAAAACACAUCAUUGCGAAACUGAAAUCAGCUGAACUACUUUGUGCUUAAAAGUAUAUAUGUUCCUUAUUGGAUGGCCCACAUUUAAGUUUUUAUUGGAUACAGAAUGGAACUGGAACAUUAGAGAAAAUUUUGUGGUUUGUUCAUAAGUCACUAUGGCAAAAUACUCUCCUUGAGCUAUUAUUUAGAUAAAGCUACAGUACUGAUAGAGCCUUAGUAGAAAAUCCUGCUCAAGAACAGAGGACAGAACUGAGGACAUUUAUUGACAUGGCACGGUAUAGUCCUUGUUUGUUCUUAGUCUUCCUCUUUUUUUUUCUUAAAAGAGAAGUUGCAAAUAGACCAUGCUGUUUGAACAAAUGCAAAAUCAAGCAGGGUUAUUGAUACUUUACUUAAAUAUUUUUUGUUCUUGUAUAUUUCACUUAUUUGUGAUUCAACCCUGAUUCAUCCUUCUGUGUUUACAUUCUAUGGUCCCAUCAAAAUUAAUAGUCAAACUCCCAUCAGUUCUGAUGAAGUUAAGAUGUCAUGAUGUAUAUUUACAUGUGAUUCUUAGUCACAAAUGAGAUGUCUUCACUCAUACCAAUUGUGGCAUUUUAUUCCUUAUCAGCAUUUACUUUAUGCUGUCAAACGCUAUGCUGUCUUCCUAAUAUGAUUGGUUUAUCAUGCAAAUAUAGUUUAUAAGGUUUGGAUCUGAAGGUGAAAAAACGACUAGUGGAGAUAAAAGAAUUUGCAGCAAAUAUAGCUGGCAUGACUUGAAGUUAUAUACACAAGGAGAGCAAAUAUUUUCAACUAGUUCCUUUUUCUUUAUAGUAACAUAAAUGUGGCUAUUUACCGCCCCCCUCUGGACAGAUAUGGUAGUAGAAUGCAAGAAGAAAGUAUUUUCUUAAAUCAAAAAGCAUUCUGAUUAAAAAAAAAAAUCUUUCAAAAUUGUUGAUAGCUUUUACAUGCAUUGCAUUUAAAUAACCUUAUUCUUAGAUAUGCUUCCUGUGUAAAUAUUACUUCCUUAACUAUGUAAAUAUUAUUUGUAUCUGGCUUAAGCUCUUUGUGCUCUAGGAUUAGAUUCUGGUUCCAGAAAGGCAACAGUAUUUACCCAGUGUAUUAUCUUGCCCUGACAAGACAGAACAAAGAAUUUGAAUUCCCUGUAGUAAUUUAUGCCACUUCUUGACCUUCAGGGUCUUCUUUUGCAUAAUUGAUUUGAUUUGAGCUUUAAGUGUUUUCAUUUGCUAUCUAUUGUUCACAAAGUCAGAACUAAUGUGCUAAAGGUUAGAUUUAGGAACCAUUUUAAAUAACAAAGUUCAUGCCUUGCUGUGAAGAGUAUAAUUUUGGGAUAUGCCUCACGGUUAAGAACAGCGAGGUUCAGUUAUGUACUAAAAGACGACACCAAAUAUUUCAGUAAAUCUACUAUGCUGAUAUCCCAAGUUUGAAAGCUAUUGUCAUUCAUUUAAUAUCCCGCUUUAAUAUAGUUUUUAUUUAAGACAGACAAAGAAAUGAAUUAGCUGUUAAAUACAUAUUAAUUCAGCUACUCUGUUAUUUAGUAUACAUAAACAUGUUGUAAUUCAUUAACCACAUUUGACUCCAUUUCAAUAUAAUAAAACUAAUCACAAAUAUAACUGACAAUGAAAGGAAAUGACAGAGUCCUCAGAAAUUUCUCAGAGAUGUCUACAGUCCAUACAGUUUUUGUGGUUUACUCUUUGUAUCUUUUUAUCUGAUGUAUUUUCUUCCUGGCAUGCUGGUAGGUGACUAAACUCCUUCAUAUCGCUGCUUUUACAUGGAUUACAGACAACAAUCACAAAAAUGUCAAUAACAACUUUAAGUUAUUUAAUAGCAAACAACAUGUAUAGUCAUGUAAACUCAUUUGUUCAGCUAAGUCAAAACCAGCAACUUAUAAAGUGCAAGCACUAUGUAGAGAUUUCUAUCAGGAAGUUAAAAAUGUCUUGUAGCAUUGUAUUUCUCUCUUCAAACUCACAGAAUUUAGUAUUAGGAUGAACAAGUGCAGCACCAUCUUUUCUAGGUUCUUACAGAUUAAUACUUUCUGUUAUGUUUUGGUCAGAAGAAAAUUGUUUAAAAAAAUUGCUUUCUCUGUCUCUUUUAAAAAAAAAAAAAAAUAAGUGCAAUAUGUGACUAUGCCUGAUAAAAGGUGCAUAAUUGUCAUGUUCUGAGUACUGAGACUGGGUACAUUCUUUUUAAUAUUGUUUAACAAAUAAUUAAACCAACUCUACCCAUGACACUGAAGACAAAGAAGCCUCAGCGAUCCUGGAAAAAAUUACCUUUCUAGUUAUGAAAUACCAAAAAAACUUCAGUAUUCGUAAUUUCACAACUGUGAAGUUAUAUAUUUAGCUAUAUUGGUACUCAAACAACAUCAGGAUAGAGCUCUAUUUUAUUUUUUACUAUUACUAUUGAUUGGCUAAACUAAGAAAAAAGAAACUUCCAUCCCUGUAACCUGAAUGUGGGAUUUAAGAUUUUGGGCUUGUUAUAGUUAGCUGUAUUUUGCUUUUGUAAACUGUAUCCAAGAUUCUCACCUUAUCUUGAAAUUUCACAGGUGGUAUACAAGUUUUUAUCUCUUAGUUUGAGAGUAGAGAACUGAAAAUUAGUUCUGUUAGUUCUCAGUAAGUCCUUAUCUUAUCUUGAAUGGAUAGAAUGUGCUGAGGAUGCGCAUCUAAGAAACCUGAGUAUUUUACAUGAUUUUAUGAGUAUAGGAAUAGUGCGCAUGUGCAGUGACAAAAGGUGAAAAGUUCACAAGUGAAGAAGACUCCUUACUUCAUCCUGAAGACCCCCUGAACGACCACCAGAGGAUACUGCGCAUGCUUAGAGUAGUUCCAAGGGGUUGCAACUGAUAUUGUGAAAUAAUGAUGUAAUCUGAUGAAUAUGCAAUACAUACGUUGUAACCCUAAUGAAUAUGUAUGUAACCAAAUUGUAUAAAUGUAGUGGAGUUCGAAUCAGUGAUCGAAGACAGCUUUGGGUGCGAACCCCUGGUUUCCCAGCGCUGAAAUAAAAGCACCGCAUAUAACUACGUCCGUAGUUAUGUGUCCUGUUUGCUAACAGGCUCAGAUAGCAUCAAUAGCAUUGUUCAUUAAGUUCUGGUAUGCCUAUAAAAAUAUGCAUGUUCUUAAAUACUUUAAAAUCCCAAUUAAUUAACGUGUAGGAGACAAAAUAGGAGCACGAAAACACGGCACCAUUGGCAAAUGCUUAGCUUGGGAUUCGCUGUUAACUCCCAAAUAAUACCUGUGGAACUGCUGUGUAACCAGUAGUUCUCCAUCCUGUGUGUAUGCAGUUGAUAAUACAG